UAGAAGACAUAACCAAAGAGACGUCAGCCGUAAAAACCAAGCGAGACCCCUUCCCAGCUUCUUCUUCAUUAGGAUGCAAGAAAAAACCCUAAGAGCCUAAGAAAAACAGGAGCGGCUAAGCCUUAGCACACCUAGGACCUUUCUCCUUCACUUUAAGCCAAACGACCCCAUCUCCCACAACUGAAUGGAGCUUCACACACACACGCACAUGCUGAAAAUAGUUGAAUCCAUCUUGGAGCUCAUUUGCGAGAUCUGUUCGGCGCCAGAUAUUGAAGUGUUGAGUUCGUCGAGGUCGUACAGCGAGGAAGAAGAUCGAUCUUCAGAUCUGCUUUGCCCACGUAAUUCUCAUUUUUUACUAUCCCUAUUCUACGUUGAUGAUCUCCUUACUGUCGAAUUGUAAUGUAAAUUUUGUU
rnacentral:lncRNA from 1 species